rnacentral:rRNA from 1 species
UAGGGAAUCUUCGGCAAUGGACGAAAGUCUGACCGAGCAACGCCGCGUGAGUGAAGAAGGUUUUCGGAUCGUAAAACUCUGUUGUUAGAGAAGAACAAGGACGUUAGUAACUGAACGUCCCCUGACGGUAUCUAACCAGAAAGCCACGGCUAACUACGUGCCAGCAGCCGCGGUAAUACGUAGGUGGCAAGCGUUUUCCGGAUUUAUUGGGCGUAAAGCGAGCGCAGGCGGUUUCUUAAGUCUGAUGUGAAAGCCCCCGGCUCAACCGGGGGGGGGCAUUGGAAACUGGGGGACUGGAGGGCAGAAGAGGAGAGUGGAAUUCCAUGGGUAGCGGUGGAAUGCGUAGAUAUUUGGAGGAACACCAGUGGCGAAGGCGGCUCUCUGGUCUGUAACUGACGCUGAGGCUCGAAAGCGUGGGGAGCAAACAGG